AAGCCGUCAAUAAACAAGACGUACGCCAAUGACAGGACCGCGAAUUUGGCUCCAUCCAUGUUCAUCAAAAGUAUUGCUGAAUCUAUAACGAAUCAUCUAGUGCUCGAUCCUAAAGUACUCAUUAGUGUACCAUCGGCACCGAAGCUUAGGGUUAUUUGGACCAAGGAUCAAUAGGUUAUGGAAGAUAACAGACUUAGCAGGUGGAUGCGCGAAUCACAGUAUCUCGUCGGGGAAGAGAAGGUUAUGAUAGACCUUUCCUCACCCAAGCAGCGACCAAGAGUUCAUA
rnacentral:sRNA from 1 species